UCGAAUUGUGGAUCUAGGCACCGACGGCAUC
rnacentral:piRNA from 1 species